rnacentral:rRNA from 1 species
UUUUGAUGUUAAUUGUUUUUUCUAGGGUAGUAUUAGUUAUGGUCUUGAAACCCAAAGAAUUUGGCGGUAUCCCAUUCUCUUCAGAGGAAUCUGCCCCUUAAUCGAUAAUCCACGUUGGACCUUUCUUAAUUUUUGUUUGUAUACCGCCGUCGUAAUGAGAAUCUUUUUAGUGUUGUUAAUUCUCUAGUUUCAUUAUUUUGAUUUAUUUCAGGUCAAGGUGCAAUUUGUUUUUAAGUGUGAGGUGGAUUACAAUAUGUUUUUGAGUUUUCGGAUUAUUAAUUGGAAUUGUUUGGUAUGAAGUUGGAUUUGGUUGUAAUUUGUUGAAGAUUGUUUAGAUGAUUUAGGUUCUGGGAUAUGC